rnacentral:rRNA from 1 species
ACGGAGAGUUUGAUUCUGGCUCAGAAUGAACGCUGGCGGCGUGCUUAACACAUGCAAGUCGAGCGAGAAAGUUUCCUUCGGGAAGCGAGUAAAGCGGCGGACGGGUGAGUAACGCGUGAGAAUCUUCCCUUCAGUGAGGAAUACCCUCGAGAAAUCGAGGUUAAUACUGCAUACGUCCCUUCGGGGAGAAAGGUGGCCUCUUUGCUGCCGCUGAAGGAUGAGCUUGCGUGCUAUUAGCUAGUUGGUGAGGUAAUGGCUCACCAAGGCGAUGAUGGCUAGCCGGCCUGAGAGGGUGUACGGCCACAUUGGGACUGAGACACGGCCCAGACU